CUUUCAGUGGCGCAGCUAACGUUUUAAGUUGUCCGCCUGGGGAGUACGGCCGCAAGGCUAAAACUCAAAUGAAUUGACGGGGACCCGCACAAGCGGUGGAGCAUGUGGUUUAAUUCGAUGCAACGCGAAAAACCUUACCUACUCUUGACAUACUUGGAAGCUCUUGUAAUGAGAGUGUGCCUUUUGGAACCAAGAUACAGGUGCUGCAUGGCUGUCGUCAGCUCGUGUCGUGAGAUGGUCCGUUAAGUCGGAUAACGAGCGCAACCCUUACCCUUAUUUGCCAGCGAUUCGGUCGGGAACUAUAAGGGGACUGCCGGUGAUAAACCGGAGGAAGGUGAGGACGACGUCAAGUCAUCAUGGCCCUUACGAGUAGGGCUACACACGUGCUACAAUGGGGAAUACAGACGGACGCUAAGCCGCGAGGUGGUGCUAAUCCUAAAAAGUUCUUCGUAGUCCGGAUUGGAGUCUGCAACUCGACUCCAUGAAGUCGGAAUCGCUAGUAAUCGCGAAUCAGCAUGUCGCGGUGAAUACGUUCUCGGGUCUUGUACACACCGCCCGUCACACCAUGGUAAGUGGAUUG
rnacentral:rRNA from 1 species